ACCUGGCAAAAGGCAAUGCAUCUUUAAAAUCAGCACAGGAAAUCCUUUCAGCAUGUGGUCCAAUCAGCGGAGGAAAUACCAUCCCAACUGACCUCAUCAGCACCCAACCUCUGUCUGCUGCAGCUCCACCUACAGAG